rnacentral:rRNA from 1 species
UGCCCACUGAAUUUUCAAGGGCCGUGGUAUAUUGACCAUGCGAAGGUAGCAUAAUCAUUUGCCUCUUAAUUAGGGGCUGGAAUGAAGGGUUGGACGAGAAAUCGGCUGUCUCUUCUUUUAAUUUGAAUUUAAUUUUUUGGUGAAAAAGCUAAAAUUUGCUUGUAGGACGAUAAGACCCUAUAGAUCUUUAUAAUUAAGUGUUUUGAUUAAUUGGUUGUUAUUAGAUUGAGACUCUUGUUAUUUUGUUGGGGCGACAUUGAGUGGAGAUUUAACUCUCAAAUUUACUAAACAAUUAUAUUUGUUCAACUGAUCCUUUGAUGAAUUAAGAUUAAGUUACCUUAGGGAUAACAGCGUAAUUCUUCUUGAGAGUUCAAAUCGACAGAAGAGUUUGCGACCUCGAUGUUGGUUCAGGGUUCCUCCUAGGUGCAGCAGUCUAGAAAGGUAGUCUGUUCGACUAUUAAAACCCUACGUGAUCUG